rnacentral:rRNA from 1 species
UACGUAGGUGGCAAGCGUUGUCCGGAAUUAUUGGGCGUAAAGCGCGCGCAGGCGGUCCUUUAAGUCUGAUGUGAAAGCCCAAGGCUCAACCGUGGAGGGUCAUUGGAAACUGGGGGACUUGAGUGCAGAAGAGGAAAGCGGAAUUCCACGUGUAGCGGUGAAAUGCGUAGAGAUGUGGAGGAACACCAGUGGCGAAGGCGGCUUUCUGGUCUGUAACUGACGCUGAGGCGCGAAAGCGUGGGGAGCAAACAGG